rnacentral:rRNA from 1 species
CCCUUAGAUGUUCUGGGCUGCACGCGUGCUACACUGAUAUUGCCAAUAUGUCAUUCUUAUCCGAAAUGGAUUGGGUAAUCAAGUAAUGAAAUUUCCUGCUUGGAAUCGGUAAUUGCAAUUUUAUCGUGAACGAGGAAUUCCUAGUAAGCACUAGUCAUCAGCUAAUGUUGAUUAUGUCCCUGCCCUUUGUACACACCGCCCGUCGCUACUACUGAUUGGGUGUUCAAGUGAGAUGCUUAGACCCUUGUUGCAUGGUUCAUUAUUGUGCUCCGAAAGGAAAAAGUUUCAAGCUUGAGUGUCUAGAGGAAGUAAAAGUCGUAACA